GUCAGAAUGGCCGAGUGGUCUAAAGCGCCAGACUCAAGUUCUGGUCCUUGAAAGAGGGCGUGGGUUCAAAUCUCACUUUUGACA